UACGUAGGUGGCAAGCGUUGUCCGGAUUUACUGGGCGUAAAGGGUAUGCAGGCGGGUUUUUAAGUAGAAAGUGAAAGGUUGGAGCUCAACUCCGACACUGCUUUCUAUACUGGGAGCCUUGAGUGCCGGAGAGGAAGAGGGAACUGCACGUGUAGCGGUGAUAUGCGUUGAGAUGUGCAGGAACACCAAUGGCGAAAGCACUCUUCUGGACGGUUACUGACGCUGAGAUACGAAAGCCAAGGGAGCGAACAGG
rnacentral:rRNA from 1 species